rnacentral:rRNA from 1 species
AUUGAACGCUGGCGGCAGGCCUAACACAUGCAAGUCGAGCGGAUGAAGGGAGCUUGCUCCUGGAUUCAGCGGCGGACGGGUGAGUAAUGCCUAGGAAUCUGCCUGGUAGUGGGGGAUAACGUCCGGAAACGGGCGCUAAUACCGCAUACGUCCCGAGGGAGAAAGUGGGGGAUCUUCGGACCUCACGCUAUCAGAUGAGCCUAGGUCGGAUUAGCUAGUUGGUGGGGUAAAGGCCUACCAAGGCGACGAUCCGUAACUGGACUGAGAGGAUGAUCAGUCACACUGGAACUGAGACACGGUCCAGACUCCUACGGGAGGCAGCAGUGGGGAAUAUUGGACAAUGGGCGAAAGCCUGAUCCAGCCAUGCCGCGUGUGUGAAGAAGGUCUUCGGAUUGUAAAGCACUUUAAGUUGGGAGGAAGGGCAGUAAGUUAAUACCUUGCUGUUUUGACGUUACCAACAGAAUAAGCACCGGCUAACUUCGUG